AAAACGCAUACCUCACGCCAUCCAGCCAGGGUACCGUGAUGGGGAACAGAAGGGAAACGGAUAGCUACUUACGACCAAACCUACAACUUGUUGUCAGUCCGAUUCCAGCGUCUCACCAACAACUUUCUCCAAACCACCCAACUCGUCUCUCCUCUCAAGCGAAGGGGACCCAUUCAUUUUCUUCUCCCGUUUUCUCCAUCUUGUCGUGAUCUCAUCCGAGAAGAAUCUGGAUUCUUGACAAGAGUACUUUUCUUGUCAUGACUUUUCCCACUCGAUACAAAGAUAGAAAGAUCUUGCCCGGAUCAAGAUUUAAGUGACAGUCUCACUCAAUUCUCAAAAGUCCUUCUAACCAGAAGGAUGAGAUCUUCGUCUCCUUCCUCGCCGCCCAGUUCCUCGUAGAUACGUCGCCCGCAUCAUCCUCGUGCUGCUGUACAGUUGAGAUCGAAGAAUGAAAAUAAGCCAACUUCAACUCCUCCCCGAUAAGUAUGGUUGGUAUCAAUGAGCUGAAAGAUUGCUAUUGUGUCCAACAAUCUGAUUCACAUCACAUCUCCUCGCCAGAAAAAUCUCGUCUUUCUUAACCAACCAUUCAGCUUUUGGACGAAAUAAAAAAAAGACAGAGCAAGUGGAGAGAGAGAAAGUCAUUCAAGGAAUUUCGCCUUGUGUGUGGCGUGAUAUUAGGACGGUGUAAUAUUUUACCACGGAUUUACAAAGUGAAAAGUGCCAACAAUUCCCAUCUCAUAAAGAAUCCAGCCAGACACGGUGCCGGACAAGGAAAAGAUGAUAGAACUAGACAAGCUUUGAGCGGAAUGUGCAGGAUUUGUGUAGUAAUAAGUGUAGUUGGCAAAAAAGUAAAAUCUAGCAACACAAUUUUUGGACAGUUAUUUAAUAACUUGUGAAAAGAGAUAGAUAGACCUCUGGUUUCUUCUAAAGUCUAAAAGAAGAUAUAUUGUGCAGCACUUUGGCGUCGUUGGUGGGGAGUGAGUGAGCGAUAAAAGUUGCCGUCGUGAACAAGAUGAAUUGUUAGCAAAAUCAAGAAAAUGUGGUGCAGGUGAGCAUGUUUUCUCGUCACAAGCAGCGGCCGUGCUGAUAGAGCAAGCAGUAUUCAGCACCGAUUGGACGGAGUGAGCAUGAUGGAGAAAGCAGAGGUGGCAGGCGUGUAGGAACGUGUAACCUCGAGUAUUGUGGUGUAUCGUGGUGGAAGGAAGAAGGUAUCAGGCCGUGCCAAAGGUGGAGAUGGUUCGAAUUGCGACAGUAGAAGCCGUGUUGCGUUGAAAGUUGGGAUGCUUUCACCCUCUUCUUAACUUCACAUGUCUUUGGAGCAGAGUCUCAGUAGUAAAAAGGUAACACUCGGGCCCGGAGGAUCCUCAGCUUCUCACCACCAACAGCCGCCGCAAAAAUCCCCGACUGCAUCCUCUGCAGACUCGUCGCCCAAGUCGUCUCCCUCCAGAACCACGAAACUCUCCCUCAAAGGGUUAGGACGCUCUAGCACCUCGGCCAAAAGUUCACGCUCUCCGGUUCGCAGGCAACAAACGCUCUUCGACGGAAAGGAAAAGGACAAGAAAUCCACUGGGUUGCACGAGCUUGGGGAAUACAUCCCAGGAACGAGUGGACCUGCGUAUGUUGACCAUUCCCCAUUUUACGAGGCAAAUGCGACAUCCUCCCAAAAGCAAUCAACUGCCAAUAAGAUAAUCCAUAAUUGGAAGUCUGCUUGUACCACCAAGACAAAGGACUUUAUCAAAAGGUGGAAAACUUUGCCCGAAAACCAUCCAGAUUUUGACCACCUUGGAAGAACUUCGCCGCUCGGUUGUGCAAAUUCGUCCUCCAGUUUGACGGACAUGGUUAAUCCGACGCCGAAUCAGGGGGGCGGUGGGGGGAGCAGUGGUGGUGGGGGUGGGCCGAGUGGGAAGUUUUCGAAGAAGAAGGGAGGAGGUGGUGGAGGUGGUGACCACUCGGCCGAGGUGAGUUCUGGAUUUCAGGCCAUGUCUCUCGGUGGGGGCAAGGGGGGUGGCGUCAGCUUUGCGACGACGAACAACGGCCCGGUGCAAGAUGAUGGUCUGAACGGGGCCAAUAAGUCGUCCACUGGGUGGUCCGUGCAUGUUUGGGCCACCUACGUGCAGCGUGGAAUCGAUGAUGGGACUAUACCCGAGGAUAAGCCACCUAACCGGGAUUUUUUGUCGGACUUUCAAAAAGUAAAAUUCACCCAUUUCUUCAGUCACGUGCUGGACAUGAACAAAGACGAUGUGAUAUCCGCUGAGGAUUUUGUAGCUUUGAACCAGAGGAUCCGACACUACAUCGAGUGGUCUUCGGAAUGCAUAGAAUUUCACAUUUUAAAAGAAGUUCACUCCGGAUUUCUCGAAUGUUUCUUGAACCAACCGCUCGACGAUACUUCAGGAAUGUAUUACUGCAAUGCGGAACGAGAGACGAGACAGAACGUGAAUAUCGAUGAGUGGCUGGACGUCUGGGGAUUUCUUCUCAAUUCGGCCCGGACCCUGGAAGCACUUCCCCUUUGGUUACAAUACUUCCCCAAAAUCCUGUUCCAAGUCAUCAACAAAUCGGGAUCCGGCACCAUAUCAAGAGAAGAGCUUAGAGCGUUUUACACAAUGUUCCUAGGAAUAGAUUUCCGCGUGGUGAACGAAACCUUGGACUCCAUUUACAGCGCUAUGACAGAUAAUGGUCGGAACAAAAUAAGCUACACCUUGUUCAAACUCUGUUUCUCGAACUUUCUAUUUGGAAAAUACCCACACGGACCUGGUCAAUACGUAUUUGGAAUCUGCUCUAAGGACAGUUUGGACUGUCCCUUUCCCAUUGACUACAGUGCCCUCAAUACUCCCAAAGAUGAUUUGGAACCUUACGAUCCGGACAAGGACAAGGGGCAGUCUAAUCGGAGGUCAGUAAUAGUGUAAGUAAGUGAUUGGACCGUGUUGUUGGCGGAAAUCGGAAGUACCACAAUUUUUAACCGAGUUUUCUUUGACCAACGAGAUACAAUUUUUGGAUGCAUGAAGUCACGGAGAAAGUUGUUAUUUUGUGCCACGUUUCCCAUUUUGACCUUUUGACGAAACGAUUUAUAGUCAGUAGAGUUAGGAAGCAGUACCUAAAAUACAUAACUUUAUCAUCUUAUUACCACUAACCACGACGAGAUUGCUGUGAGAAGACAAUCUAAAAUGUACCAGUUUAAGUUAAUUAAGUCUUUAUGAUUGGGUUUCUCGAUGGUAAAUUGUGUGCCUCUACAUAAGAAAUACAUCUAGAAAUUGCCACUCUACAAAUGUACCUAGUCGUAGUGCCCUUUGAUAUUUUAAUUGACGUACGUAUAAAACUUAAUCAAUCUCAAUUACACUAAAUAUAGAAUAGUUUUAGCAAUUACGGAUCGACCCAACCCGAGUGAAAGUAAUUAGUUUUAUUUAUUACACUUUAAAAAAGUUGGCUACUUAACAUUUCAAAAUUCUAUAGCGUUUAAGUUUAUGCCUUGGUUUAUUUAUUCAUUACUGCAGCUACUCGCAUCCGCCAAAGUUACUCAUUAGCCAAGUUUAAUAGCCUGUUGAACUAAUAAAUCAUUAAAUCACAUACUUAUUUCUGCCAUUAUGCUCUGGAUGAAUGCACUACUGCUGUGUGCUAAAUUAAAGUGACAAGUAGACAUUUCCUUACUGCGGAUGCCAGGUUUGACUUGAGUGAUCGAUCCAUCACUUUGUAAACCUCACCUCCUUCCACCCUACUGACUAAUAGCUGAAAAUACAUAGAAUGAAAUGGAUUCGAAAAAAAGUCUUGUAACAAAAAACAGGUCUGGAGGAAAAGACCUUGAGUGUUCUCUCUUUCUCUCUCUCGAACAUAGAAAUAUGUACUUUGAACCUUGUGAGUAUGAGAUCAUGGCUUGUUGACCUUCUGUUUUUAAGAACCUGUGGCUUCAUCGCGUGGUUUUACGUAUAAUGGAGGUUUCCCAGCGUAUGCACUCAGAUUUUGGGUAAAGUAGGGCCAAUUGAUUACAAGUUCAAUUAAUAUGUAAUUUGCAAAAGGCACCAUCUCCCAAUGUUCAGGUUUGGUUAAAAUAUUUGCAUCCCGUGAGGAGAAAAUGCAAAGGAAAUUUUUAAAAAAUGUAAAAUUUGUCAAUUUUAAAGCGCACUUUCUCCACUUUAGAUGCAAAUAUCUACACCAAACUUGAGCAUUGACAAAUAGUGUAUUUAGCAAAUUUCUACUAAUUGAAUUUGUCAUCACGACUCUACUUUGCCCAAAAUCGGAGAGCAUACGCUGUGAAACCUCCAUUGUUAGCUAUUACAUGAAUGAAUGUCUGACAUGCUAUUAUAAAUUUAAUAUUCUUACUAAUGCUUCACAAUACUAACAAGUUUUCUCAUUUAUUAUGCUAUUUACAAGUACAUACAUAAUAAUUAAUUUGCUAUUAUUAUACUUCUUGUUUGACUAAAUACUAAAAACUUACAUAAUUCAAAAUAUAUAAAUAUGUAUUUGAUGUUCAUUAAACCAAAUUAAUAAUGCAUAGUUAAGGAAGUUAUAUAAAUAUGUAAAUACGUCACUAUCAUACAUAGGUUAAACUUCACGAAGCAUGGUUUCGUUGAAAAUUGUAUAUAUAAAUCUAAACAUGAAAAUUUUAUGGAAAUAUAUAAAAGUGUGAAACAAAA